rnacentral:lncRNA from 1 species
AUUUUUUUCUGGAAGCUGUGUUUUUAAAGAUUCGGCUAAUUGGCCUGUUUGAUGCGGAGAUUACCGACGUGCGCCACCACGCAAUGAGGAGAGACACUUUUCGGUCUCACACCGGUCGGGUGCAGGAGUUGUAACUGGAGACACGCUUCCAAGAAGCGCCGAUACUUCCGGCCAAGAAAACCGUAGGAAGCGGAGCCUCUGUUUCCCGGAAGGCAGCGCGCUCUAAACGCGACAGAUCAGCUUCCGGCGCGGGCCGCGUUGCUGUGGAGAUGGGGGCGGGGCCGCAGACGCAGGGCGCGAAACCCCAGACUGCGGGCCUUUGCUACAACCUCUCUGGGGUCUGCUGAGGAGUCACCUCUCUCAGUUAUAAGAGGAGGAUAAAAGGCUCUGGUUCAUCAAUAAUCUAGUCACAGAAAUAACAUAUCAACCAUUGGGUGAGUGUCCACCAACAGGAAUUACAGAGAAUGGAGAAGAAGAUUGGCUUCAGGUCUUUUAGGGAUGGCGUGGUUAAGAAACCUUGUUCUCCAAAGGCACUGCCCCUCAAAAAGUCUUCUGCCUUCUCUGGGAUCCAGAGGGAGUUAACUAGAAGCUGCCACUCCUCGUACUAUCAAUCCUCACAAAGUUGGACUCCACAGAGAUUACGAGAACUGCGUGUCAGGUGUGUGGCCAGAAAGUUCCUAUAUUUGUGGAUGCGAGUGACCUUUGG